UACGAAGGGGGCGAGCGUUGUUCGGAAUUACUGGGCGUAAAGGGCGCGCAGGCGGCUCUGAAAGUCAGAUGUGAAAGCCCCGGGCUUAACCUGGGAAUUGCAUUUGAUACUCUGGAGCUUGAGUACGGGAGAGGAGAGUGGAAUUCCCAGUGUAGAGGUGAAAUUCGUAGAUAUUGGGAAGAACACCGGUGGCGAAGGCGGGUCUCUGGGCCGGUACCGACGCUGAGGAGCGAAAGCGUGGGGAGCGAACAGG
rnacentral:rRNA from 1 species